rnacentral:rRNA from 1 species
GAUGAACGCUAGCGGCAGGCUUAAUACAUGCAAGUCGAGGGGUAGCAAGAUUGUAGCAAUACAAUUGUUGACGACCGGCAAGCGGGUGCGGAACACGUACACAACCUUCCUACAAGUGGGGAAUAGCCCAGAGAAAUUUGGAUUAAUACCCCGUAACAUAGCGAUGUGGCAUCACAUUGCUAUUAUAGCUUCGGCGCUUGUUGAUGGGUGUGCGGCUGAUUAGAUAGUUGGCGGGGUAACGGCCCACCAAGUCUACGAUCAGUAGCUGAUGUGAGAGUAUGAUCAGCCACACGGGCACUGAGACACGGGCCCGACUCCUACGGGAGGCAGCAGUAAGGAAUAUUGGACAAUGGACGCAAGUCUGAUCCAGCCAUGUCGCGUGAAGGAUUAAGGUCCUCUGGAUUGUAAACUUCUUUUAUAAGGGACGAAAAAAGGUCUUUCUAGAUCGUCUGACGGUACCUUAUGAAUAAGCACCGGCUAACUCCGUGCCAGCAGCCGCCGUAAAAC